rnacentral:rRNA from 1 species
GUCUAUGGCCCUACCACCCUGAAUGUGCCCAUUUUUGGCUCAUCAUGGAAGCUAAGCAGGGUUGGUCCUGGUUAGUAUUUGGAUGGGAGAUGCCUGGGAAUACCUGAUGCUGUAAGCU